UAAAAACCCUGCGCCGUUCUGCCUCGGGGCUCACAAUCCUGAACCGAUCGCUUCGUCGGGGACGACUGGGGCCCAGGCUCGCGCCUGAAUAAACUGCCCUCGUGCGCUUGCAUCGGACUCGGCCUCCUCUGCUGGUCUGGGGAACUUUGAGAUCUGGGCAUAACGUUUGCGGAUGCUGGUUACCACGGUAACCGGAGGAGGGCGGAGUUUGCUUCCAACCCGGAACUGACGGCGGAAUUCUGGCGGGCCGCUUGUGCUGUGAAACCACCGUUGCACCCAAGAGGGACACGAACCCACCCGCACCAAAUAGAGGUCGAGGCGACCCCCGUCUCGGCUUCCGUGUCAAGGGGAGUUGAAAAAGUGCUGCACGUGUCUCCCUGGCUCUUGUUCCUCUGUAGCCGUCUCCCUCGCGUUCCUGCUACGCGGGGAAGGGAAGCCCGUGACCGCGGUUCCUUGGAAUAAAGGCCAUCUAACUUCCUUUUACGAAUUCGGCCGAGUUAUUCUUUCCCUGGUGGUCAGCGAAUCUAACGGGCUCGUCUGGAAUCCCCAAGGUCUCCAGGACCUCCAACCCUAAGGGCAGCAGUGCUCUACAGUGGGCCCAUGUCUAGCAGAGACUGAAGACUUUUUAUGAGACUGGACCACCCCCCGAGCCUCACGGCUAUUGACCGUUGGGUGUUCGCCUGCCGCCACAGACACAAAAACCUUGAACCUUGUUGGAAAGGGCCUUUUGUUGUCAUCCUGACCACUUCCACCACUCUCAAAGUCGAUGAAAUUGCUACGUGGGUCCACAAUACACACGUCCAUCCCGCAGAUCCCUUCCCUGCACAAGAAGACUAACUGCCAGAAUGGAAGGCCGUCAAGGACAACAGCCCCCUCAAACUAAGAUUUCAGUGCAUCUAAUCAUAUGCCUCACAUUUGUUAUGAUUUCUGCUUGCAGGGGUUUGGGGUCCCCUGAGCCACUGAACCUUCAUCAGACUUACAGGUGGGAAUUGGUCCGGUGGGAAGAUUGGACUAAAGUAGGAGAAUUUGUGGGAUCACUGGAAAGUGAUACUCCUCAUUUUGUAACCACCUUGUGUAAGCUUGUACCUCGCGAACCUUGCCUCAAUUCCAUCGGGUUUUAUAUGUGUCCUGCUGAGGGACCCAGUGAUUGUAAUUAUACCAAUCAUUAUUACUGUGCAUACUGGGGAUGUGAGACAGUGGCCAGUUCAUGGGAACUAGACCCACAGGCCAAAGACAAAGAUGUGAAAGUCGAUUGGUGGCCCCCUAACUGCCGCCCAUAUAGAGGAAUAGUUGCGGAAGCUGGGGGAAGUUUCUGUGAACAAAUCAACAUAAACAUCACUGACCCAAAGGAUCCUAAGUGGACUGUAGGAAAAGUAUGGGGCCUCAGAUACUAUGAAGAGGGGCCCGACCAAGGCGGACUAUUCACCAUCCAGAGAUUCCCAGUAUUGGCCACCCCUACUUCAGCCUUGGGCCUAAACCAGACAAUAGCACCUGGCCUAGAUUUUAACACACUCUCCAACUCCUCAAGGCCAGAUGGAGUUACUGACAUGACUCCAAUUUCCAAGCCCAUGCCAUCUGGCAAUGCCCCCCAAAACUUUCUGUGAGAACUCAUGCGGAGUACCUGGGCGGUUCUUAAUGCUUCCCAUCCAAACUUGACACAGUCAUGCUGGUUGUGCUAUGAUGUUAGACCCCUCCCCCCCAUUAUGAGAGAAUAGCAACACAAGAGAAAUAUAACAGUUCUUCUGAUAGUAGUGCCUACAGCUGACAACAGAAAAACAAUGUUAAACUUACCUUAAAAUCUGUGGCCGGACAAGAAUUAUGCCUAGGUCAAUUGUCCCAACCCCAUGGCCAGCUUUGUAACGAAACAGGUGCCAUUAUUUCUGCUUUUAACUACUUGAUUCCCCCUGAAAAUGGGUAGUGGGCCUGCUCCUCUGGGCUUUCCCCAUGUGUUCGUGGCCAAGUCCUGGCCAAGAACAAGGAAUACUGUGUAGUAGUAUAAUCAGUAAGUCCCUAGGAUAUAUUAUCACCCAGACCAACAAAUUUCUCAGAGACUAGAUAGCUAAAUGAUAAGUAGCAAGAGAGCCCCUCACAGCCAUCACAUUUGCAGUUCUCCUAGGAUUAGGCUUGACUGGGGCAGAAACUGGAGAGUCAUCUUUGAUCCUUCAGAACCAAACGUGUCAUGGGUUACAACAGGCCAUUGCUGUGGACAUAGAAAGAUGAGAGACCUCAACAUCUCACCUACAGGAAUCCUUAACAUCCUUAGCAGAAGUUGUCCUUCAGAACCACAGAGGAUUAGAUCUUUAUCUUCAACAAAGAGGAUCGUAUGCAGCACUCGGUGAAGAAUGCUGUUUUUAUAUAGAUCACUCAGGAGUAUAAAAGAAUCUAUGGCCAAAGUUUGAAAAGGCCUCGCUAAGAGAAAGCGAGAACCAUCAGAAGGAUGGUUUGUAUCUGGUUUAAUACUUCCCCCUGGUUAACUAUCCUGAUUUCCACUCUAUUAGUCUCUUGUUCAUCUUGGUAUUGUUGCUUACUUUUGGCCCCUGUAUUCUCAAUAGAUUAGUCUCCUUCAUCAGAGAACAGAGUACAACUGAUGGUAUGAAUAUCCCAAUAUUGCCCCCUACAAGAGGGAGCCAUGACUGGAUCCCCUAGUCACAAGAAAAGGGGAGAAUGAAGAAUCUUGGCAUAAGUCUUGCAGUCUUGGAUGGGGGCACCAUUUUGUCAGUUGAAGUUUCAUUUGUAAAACAUCGCAAAUAACCGGUCAGCAGAUGAUAGCCUAUAAGAAAACAACAGGAAAUUCCCCAAGUUCCCCUGCCUGAGAUAAGGUCCACUUGCUUCAGACCCACCAAUGAGUGAAUGCCAACUUGUAUUUUUUUAAAUGUCAACCAAUCACAAGUGAAUACCUGCAAUUCCCCUUGGACUAUAUGAGCUGUAAUAACACUGUGCUGUUCGGCCUCAGGGCUCACAAUCCUGAACCACUGUGUCGGUGACAACUGGUGCCCAGGCUUGAGCUUAAAUAAACUGCCCUUGUGUGCUUGCACUGGA